rnacentral:sRNA from 23 species
CCUGUGGAGAGCCAUACAAACGAUAGUAGCCUUUUGGCGAGGUCGGGUUCGUUGAAGCAGGAA